GGGGUCCUGGUAUCAGACAGGAUGCAGUGCCUUCUUGGACUCCUGGGGCCUGUCAAUCACCUUGUGGUUCAGCCCGCCCACUGCUUCCGGAAAGAUCAGUGAACUGGAACAAUCCUCCCAGUUCUUCCACCCACAUCCGUGUUACAGGAAGGACCAAACUUUGAACCCAACUAGACUUUUGUAGGAAGCCGGCUAAUGUGUUCCAGGAAGCUGUGUUAAGGGAACACAUGAAGCAAACGGCAGCUUGUGAGCUCACAGUCCUCUGCACAAAACCCUUCCCUGAGGGAAAGCAGAGUCACUUUGCAGUCAGGCCACAGUUUAGUUUCCACAGACUGAUGCCACCUAGUGGCGACACCAAAGCCUGGACAAGGAUAUCACCUUUCCACCUUUCACCUUUCACCUUUCACCCAGCAAGAGAAAACAAAACAGAAAAAUUCUUUUUUUUUUUUUUUUUUAAAUUUUUUUUUCAACAUUUAUUUAUUUUUUUGGGACAGAGAGAGACAGAGCAUGAACGGGGGAGGGGCAGAGAGAGAGGGAGACACAGAAUCGGAAACAGGCCCCAGGCUCUGAGCUGUCAGCCCAGAGCCUGACGCGGGGCCCGAACUCACGGACCACGAGAUCGUGACCUGGCUGAAGUCGGACGCUUAACCGACUGCGCCACCCAGGCGCCCCAAAACAGAAAAAUUCUUAUUGUGUAAAUCCGAAGAGCUAGAUUGCACCGUGUCACUUUCAAAACAGCCCUGAAAGGUACAUGUUCCUCUCCCUAUUUUGUGGCUGAAGAGAUGGGAAGUGUCCUUAGAAGUGUCUCAGUCAAUGUCACAUAACCAUCCCCCCCA
rnacentral:lncRNA from 1 species